GCCUGCUGUAAACAUAGCAGUUUACAUUUGGAGUUAAGCUAGCCUCUAGUGGCUGUCUUCUGGACAACCACUAGAUGCGCAUUUUAUGCCUCCAUCAUGCAGAGCGUCCAUAGGAAAGCAUUGAAAAAUGCUGUCCUAUGGUCACUUUGAAUGUGCGCGCGGCACUGCCACACAUGCGCAUUCCGCUCCGCUGACGUCAGACGGGUGACCUGACGUCGGCGGGGGAGGAGAGGUAAGGGAGCCCAGCGGUGGAAGGUGGUGAGUAACUGAAGGGGUUUUAACCACUUCAGCACCACGGGAGG